rnacentral:rRNA from 1 species
AGAGUUUGAUCCUGGCUCAGGAUGAACGCUAGCUACAGGCUUAACACAUGCAAGUCGAGGGGCAGCGGGAAGUUAGCUUGCUAACUUUGCCGGCGACCGGCGCACGGGUGAGUAACGCGUAUCCAACCUUCCCCUUAGUAGGGCAUAGCCCGUAGAAAUGCGGAUUAAUACCCUAUGUUGUAUAUUGAUGACAUCUGAUUUAUACCAAAGGUUCACCGCUAAGGGAUGGGGAUGCGUCUGAUUAGGUAGUCGGCGGGGUAACGGCCCACCGAGCCAACGAUCAGUAGGGGUUCUGAGAGGAAGGUCCCCCACAUUGGAACUGAGCCAUGAUCAAACUC